rnacentral:rRNA from 1 species
GACGAACGCUGGCGGCGCGCCUAACACAUGCAAGUCGAACGAGCGAGGGAGAGCUUGCUUUCUCGAGCGAGUGGCGAACGGGUGAGUAACGCGUGAGGAACCUGCCUCAAAGAGGGGGACAACAGUUGGAAACGACUGCUAAUGCCGCAUAAGCCCACGGGUCGGCAUCGACCAGAGGGAAAAGGAGCAAUCCGCUUUGAGAUGGCCUCGCGUCCGAUUAGCUAGUUGGUGAGGUAACGGCCCACCAAGGCGACGAUCGGUAGCCGGACUGAGAGGUUGAACGGCCACAUUGGGACUGAGACACGGCCCAGACUCCUACGGGAGGCAGCAGUGGGGAAUAUUGCACAAUGGGGGAAACCCUGAUGCAGCGACGCCGCGUGGAGGAAGAAGGUCUUCGGAUUGUAAACUCCUGUUGUUGGGGAAGAUAAUGACGGUACCCAACAAGGAAGUGACGGCUAACUACGUGCCAGCCGCCGCCGUAA